GUUAUGAGGCUGUUCAUUUUAAUAGUGAAGCUCAUUCUACAGAAGAAUCGUUUCAUUCCUAUUGAUAUUUAACAUAUCAACAGGAAUAGAUUGUUAAAGGCACAUUAUACAAAAGAAUAAUUAACUAUACUUUUACUAAUGACCUGCAAUAAUCAAAUUAAAAAUAUGUUCCGGGUAAUUAGCCAAUGAGAAAAUUUUAGGAUACUAUUAAAGUAUACCAAAAUGAAGAAGCUUGUAAAAUGCUAAAGAUUAAAGCAUUUCUGAGGCAAAAUGAGUAUUUAAAAGAAUGACAAUUUCGUAUUGUUUUCUCAGAUUUUCACAUGUUUGCCUUUACACAGUACUAAUUUUCUUUUGGUAAGACACACUUUGUGUAUAUUCAUUACUAUUUUUAAUAACUGUUGAACCAAGACGUUAUUUUUCUGUUAGUUUUAUUACUUAUCUUUUCUAUUUAUCGUACAUAUAAAUAUAUUUGGUGCACUACAACUUUCUUUUUGAAAAAAUAUGUAUAUUUUAUACAUAGAAUCAUUGAUCUUUAUUUAUAUUUUAAUGUCACGUUGCCGUUACCGCUUAAACGGUAAUAUUUGAAUGUAUUUAUUUUGUUUCAAAGACGAAAUGAAUUGAAUGUGUUGUUUUGAUUUAUUUACUUCAUUUAUAGAUUAAUUGACGUUUUUAUUUUUUAAGUAAUACACAAAGGAUAGGUAUUUUUUGGCUUAUACCUCGCUUUGGAUACAUGUAUGAAGUCUGUUAUGCUAUUAAAAAUAUCGAUGCAUCCAUCCCUUACAAUAAAUGCUAUAUAAAUAUAUAUUUCUUCACAUAAUUGGUUCGUAAGCUGAUUUACGUACGGUGGCAAAAAGGUGACAUGUUUGUGUAUGUUUAUUUAUCUCGUGCGCACGAUAUACUAUGUCGUGGCCACGAGUUACUAAGUCGUGCGCAUGAAAUAAUUAAGUGGUGCGCACGAGAUAUCAUGUCAUAUCCAUGAGUUACUAAGUCGUGGCCACGAAUUACUAAAUAAAAUAAACCGGGGCUAAUUUCUUCUCAAGUUAUGGUAUGGAAAAGGUCAACAGGCAAUAAGUACGUACAUACUGAUCAAUCCUAUCAAAUAAUGUUCCCCACAAAGAGCAAAACUUAGUAAAGAUUAAAAUCUGAUUUACUGGUCUUGGAUAGUGACCUAUUCUUAUGAUCCUUUAGUCAUGUAUACUGUUUGAAGUGGAUAUCUUAAGUAGUGUAAUAGAUUAACGUUGCAUGUAAAAUUUUAACCAGAAUUUAUAUAAUUCCUAAUUAUAUAAUUCUAUCUGAUUGGUUAAUUAUCUCCUGGGCACGACUUAAUUAUCUCGUAAGCAAAGCUUAGUAACUCGUGGCCAAGACAUAGUAUAGUGUGGGCCCAACUUAAUUAUCUCUAGUGCACCAAAAAGUAGCAGGUUGUUACGACAUAGGAUCUCGUGCGCACGACUUAUCUCGUGGCCAUGACAUAGUAUCUCGUUCGCCCCACUUAGUAUUUCGUGAGCACAUGAUAAUUAAAGACUCAAACAUGUCGACUCUUUGACAUAAACAUAUAUCCGUAAAAAACGUUAUAAACUUUACAUUACUUUGAAAUAAUCUGCAUAAGAUUGUUUCCGUAAAUUAAUUUCAUCAGAAAAAAAGACAAAUUUUAGAAGUGACAGAAUAUCUUAUAAUCUGUCAGAAUAUUCAAUGUCUAAAUUAAUUUUGAGAUCUUUUUUCAUCUGAACAUAUAAUGUCAUCGUUAAACAAACCGCUCAUUAAUGCGUAUCAUGGGCACAAGCGAAGUUUUGAGCAACUUAUUUAUUGUAUUUAUAAAUUCAUGGUGCAUGUAAGGUAAAUAGGGUUAGCAACGGUUGAUGGUUAAAUCUAUGGUACUGUUUGAACCACUCUUAUAGUUUGAAAUGCGUAACUCGUUGUUUUAAAGUUCUAUUUGUAUAUUCAAUGUCUUUAAUGAAUGUAAAAACGGCAAAACAAUAACGUAACGUUCAAUUUGCAGAUGGAUGCCUCCAUAUCUUUGCGCGGUACUGUAUGUUACAUGCAAGGCUGAUUACAAUCUUGACAUUUCUUCUCGCUCGCGAAUGAGUGACCUUACAGUCUAGCAUGAUUUUCCUAUGAAUAGAAAAAAAUGCACUCUAGACAACAAGAAUAUAGACAAAAUUUACAUUAUUAUCAAAAUGUUUAACUUUUCCUACUUAAAGAAAUAUAAAUCUAUUUUUUAAAAGUAUCAGUAAAUCUUAACAAUUGCUGAUCUUACUAACAAUGUGGUGUAUAAAAACUAUCAUCUUAGAAAAUCGAGAAAGAAAAUAGGUGUAAUUAUUUGUAAUUCAUUUCUCAUUGAAUGUUUAUACAAGCUGCUAUUUUAAUUCAUAGUGACGUGUUUUGUAUUCUGAGUAAAUAAUAACAUUUGUAAAGAUAGAACUUCAGAGUGCCGUAAAAUCUAAUCUAGAUAUAUACGCAUAAAUACAUAACCCCUGCAAUAAGUACUUCUUAAAUGUCCAAUUUGCAUGAGACAUGCUGCCAUUUUUAUUUAAAAAAUGUCUAGUUUUUGGUAUCUUGUUACAGAUUUGAUAGCAAAACACAAUUGCCAUAUAUAAUCUAGGCAAUCUGCAACUAUGUGUAUUCUUUUUGGUUACAUUUCCCUUCCUACAUUACUCUAUCGUUGAAAUAUUCUUCUGUUGGUGGACAGGAGGAUUUGCUACCUUUAUGCGGUCAGCGCGGCAUUCGUUUAAUUAUGUGUGUAAUAAAAUCUGGAACGAAUUUAGCGGGCUUUAUCGCUAUCUCACCGUCAUGGAAGAAUUGAUGUUCAGAAGUAUAAUUUGUACAUUUGUAAGAAUGUGGCAGAGUGUUAUUGUUUUAUAAUCAAAAGGAUUGCACUUAAACUGAGCAAAAAGUUAUGCGAUCAUCAGAUGCAAAUUUAAGAUAUGUGAAACAAACAACACAAAACAACAGACGUGAUAGACGAAAUCAACAAGAUAUCACACAGUACCUGGAUUUAAGAAUUUGAACGAUAAUUUUAUUGAUUGUCUGACAAACUUCAUUUCAUUAUGCUUUGCUUAUUUAUUUAUUUAUUUUUGUUGUUUUAUUUUUAUCAAUUAACAAAUAUAUCUUGAACAAUAGAUUACACAUGUAUGGUACCAUGUACGAAUUAAAAAUAAAAAAUAAGAGAGGACCGAA